UAUUAUGUUUUUUUUAUUGUUUAGAAAUAAUAAUUAAAUUAUAUAAAAACGAUAUAAUUAUUAAAUAGAAUAUGUAUCUAUAUAAGAUAUAUGUAUAGAAAUUGUAUAGUUCUAUCAAAUAUGUAUAUGUACAAUAUACAUAUAAAAAAUAUAUGAAAAGUGUAUAAAAAUUAUAUAAUUGUUGUAUAAAACGUGUAAAAAAAAAUGUACAGUUAUUAUAUAAAUUAUGUAUCAAAACUAUAUAAUUUUAGUAUAGAAUAUUUAUAUAUAUAAGAUUUGUAUAAAAACUGUGUAGAAGAUGUGUAGAAACAGUAUAGAACAAACCAAUAAAUUGAAAUGGCUAGCAAGUGGAAUUUAAAUUCCAUAGCCAUUUUUAUGAAAAUAGUUUAAUUUAACUAAAAAUUACACAAAUACACAACUUAUGUUUUCAAUAUUAUAAAAAAUCUCAACUCCCUAAACAUAUUACAAAAAUCUCACAUAUACACAGAAUGCUAUGUAUAUGUCGGCUAUGUUAUGUAUAUUAAUACGGAGAGAGAGUAAAACAAUUAAAAAAAUGGGAGAAAGUGUAAUUACUUUCAAAAAGUUGGUAUUUAUGUCAUUUAUAUUUAAUUUAAAGGUAUUUAUGUCAUUUAUAUUUAAUUUAAAGUGUUGUUUCUGUACUUUCCCCUAUUUUUAUCAAUAAAAAAUGACCAAUUAUUUUGAAACAGAAAAAUUACAUUUAAGCUCUUGUCUUUUCAUUUUCUCUUCUCCUCUCUACUUUUCACCAAACACAUCCGAAGUUGUAAGCUCCAUUAAAAGCUUUAUCGAUAAUCGUUAAAAAGUAUUGAAACUUGUCCUUGUAAUUCAUACAUUGUGUUCUUCGAAAUUAUUAUUUGUUUGAAUUGGGUCCCAUAGCAAGCAACUAUAUGCCAAUUUCAAAGUUAAUUUGGGUGUGUGUGUUUUUGGCUGAAAUUUCAAAUUGUAACUCAACGAAGAAGACCAAUAAGUUGUAUACCUUCUAUAUGUCAGGUGUAUGUUAUUUGUAUACUUAAUGCAUCAGUGGACUACAUGGAACAUAAAUACAAACGACAUGUUCUACCAAAAUUAUAUAUAUUUUGUAACAAAAAUUAUAGUAUGACUUGUUUUUAAGAAAAAGUUUUUUCUGCUAAACGUAACUUUGCCCCUAAAUUUGUAUCUGAUUUACCAGUGUAGGGAGGAUAAUAUGUACAAAAGUCCCUAUCAAGUAGAGAGGUUUUCGUAGACUGUAGACUCCGAGUAAAAAUAUUACAAAGCAGUUCGACAAAAUACACAACCGGAGUCAAAUCAACACAAAAUGCCAAAGAAAGCGGUAAAAAUAUUACAAAGCAGUUCAAAAAGAGAGAUGACGGGAGUGAAAUCAAAACAAAAUGCGAAAGAAAGCAUAACGCAUACUUAACAAACUAUCACUACCAAGAAAUUAAAUGACAUUUCCCUCCACACUAGACGAAGAAAAAGGAACAAAACAAGAAGAAAUAGCUUAAUGAGUUGGAAUUAUUAGAACCUUCAUUUAGACAAGAGGUUCAGCAACAGAAACAAAAUCUAAGGCGUGUGCAUAAACAUAGUAGCAACAUAUUCACAAAUCUAUGGGAAUCAUGAGUGAUAUGCCUUAAACAAAAUCUCCUACGUAAUUGCUUCAAACAUCUCUAGCCAGACCAGAAAGAUCGACCUCUCCAUCGGACCUGUUUGGUUCAGGAAAAGCUUCUUUAGGAGGAUCAGAUUCGACAGGUAUACCACGUCUCCCACGUGAGGAUGAUAGGUCGUCAUCAAAUAUACGAGGAAUGUUGAAUGCACCAAAGAAGCCAUUCUUCAUCUCCUCAGCUGCUUCAAAGAAACGAUCAAGGUUACCGAAGAAGUUCCGCUCAAUACUCUCAAUAUCACUACGCAGCCCAGGGAAAUCAAAAGGCACACUUGACUCUAUGGCAUGUGAACCUUUUGUCAUUUGGUCUGUGACAUCUUCCUCUGUGUAUUCUUUAUUAGACUCUACCAUCUCAGAAGGCCUGACGAAAAGCAAGAAGUUAGCAACAACUUGAACAAUCACCAACUGCCCGCUUGUUUCAUUACAAAAAACAAACAUGGCAUCACAAGUUUUGAGUUUGAUUAACAAAAGGCUAUCAAGUGAUGUGUGUUUCAUGACAGAAUGUUACUAAAAGACUGAAGUAACAGCCUAGCAUCUUAUCAUAAACUAAAGUACUAAACACAGUAUUCUCUACAUAUCUGGUCAGAAUUGCUUAAAGAAACAAAUACUCGUGUAUAUGUGCCUUCCAUUGGAGUUUAUGUGUGUGAUUCUAUAUCUCCUUCAGUCCUUUACAUGUCUGAAUGAAUUAACCAGAAUGUGGUUCACAAUAAUGAGUAAUCCUCAUCAUCCACACACAUUAUCCUUCACUCGCUAGCCGCAAUUUGGAAUAACAGAAGGCCACAAAUAGCUCAAUUUAUGCAGAACAUGUCAAGACACAGAUUAGUCAUUUCUUAAAUCAACCAGCUGUUAUUGAUACGGGUACGACCACGAGGAUGCAUGUUUGUGAGAUGUAUUGAACCCGAGACUUAGAGUGUGAAAAUGAAGUGCAAAUGAGAACUUAAAAAGGGCCCAAAACCGUCCAUAUAAUGCUCUCCAAGGGCACCCACUUGAAGACUUGAGACUAAGGGGUCAUUUUGGACAUUUCACACCUUGUUUGUAAACUGCUAUAUAAGGAACCUUUUAGGUCAUUUGUUAGGAGAUUUUGCUGAAUAUGGAUGUUGUAUAACACUUAGAAACAUUUUCUCUCUAAGGAGAGAAGACCACAAAUCUGAAACUUGUAACUAGGGAAAUCAACUUGAGUGUGGAGUCACUCGUGUUGGAUUUAAGCUUAGAACGUUGGGUGCUAGAGAAGGUUGAGGUCUCUCUUGUGCUCACCGAAGAGAGUAGGUCUUCUUAUUAUCAUUGUAUUAAGGGUCUAGGUGCUUGAAUACACUUAGGUUCUUGGUCUAUGAGAUAGUGUAUGUCACUCUAUCUAUCCUUUCUAUUUUUGCAAUCUUGUAAUAUUUGUAUCUCGUAUUGUACCCGUUUGUGUUGUUGUUGUUAUUCCCAUUGUUAAGUUCAUCUUGUUCAUCACAUUUUGUAGCUAUUUUGGUGUUAAAAUACACUCUUGUAUCUUGUAUUCUUGUUGUAUUUGUUGAAUUCGAGAAUUGGUCUCCAAUAGGUCUUCGGAUCUUGUGAUUUGUGGACUGUUUGGAGUGUGUUUCGUGUUCCUCUUGUCUUUCCCGUAUCAUUUGGUAGUGUUGAUUUGUCUUUCCCCUAACUCUUAUGUGUGUGAUUCUAUAUCUCCUUCAGUCCUUUACAUGUCUGAAUGAAUUAACCAGAAUGUGGUUCACAAUAAUGAGUAAUCCUCAUCAUCCACACACAUUAUCCUUCACUCGCUAGCUGCAAUUUGGAAUUACAGAAGGCCACAAAUAGCUCAAUUUAUGCAGAACAUGUCAUGACACAGAUUAGUCAUUUCUUAAAUCAACCAGCUGUUAUGCAUCAGGAAAAGCGAACAGAAGAUCGACUAAUUGAUCCUCUACCCGAAAUAGUUGGCCAAGAAAGGGGGAACCUUUUUCAUAAGAAGAAAUGAAAGCGGACAUUAUCGAUUUUGCUACCGAGAUUGUUACCCCAAGUUUGUUCAGCAGACUACUAUACUGCACUAUCACCUACAGCCCUUUCCUCUGCCGGGGACCUGGAACUUGCUUUGCUUUAUUGCUUUAAAGACCCUGCCACCCCCACCCCAAACCAAAACCCCAGUUAAUUUUAUUUUUUCCUAUCUUGCAGAUGGUAACUCAGAAAUAGAAUAGACAGUAGACUUCGUUGGAAGGAUCAACACAUUAUAUAGUGACUGGGGAAGCUAUAAAAAGCAUCUAAUGGGUAGUCAACUCAACAGAAUCACAUUCCAACUUGUUAUUGCACCCCCUUACUUAUGUGCUAUGAAACAGAUGUAAUCAGGUAAUAGUGUCAUUAAGCCUUUUCCAAUCAGUCCAGGAAUCCCCUUAUCCUUUAUUUUGGUCACUUAGGGAUUCUCCAGUCCAACAAACGAAUCAACCAAGUAACACCUCAUUCUUUGUGUGCUCUUUGAAUUGACUACAUGGGAAAGGUAAAAGGUCAUGGAGGAAGACAAGUACUUAACGAUGGGCUCCAACCCCACGUAGCCCUCAUAACCUCGGUAAUUUUCCUGGAUAAAUAUCUAUGCUUUCAAUGCAAAUGCAAAUGCAAACGCAAAGGCAAAGGUACUAACCCAUAAUGGUGUAAACAAAACAAGAAAAGAACACAUAAGUUUUCCGAAUAGCAUUCCUCAGUAAUAAGACAUGAGAUUCUUCAAAGAUAUGAAUUCCAGCUCUCAAUUUAUCGCAGAUUUGCAUUUGAUAAGGAGCUAACUGCUCCUCCGCAAUAAUGGAAUCAUCCUCUUUCAUCAGAGUGAAAAACCAAUGGUUUAGCAAAAAUAAGUUACAAUCUUUAACCAAAUUUAGAUGUAUGAAGCUGCAACCUUAAAAAUGCAGAAUUCAAUGAGCUUGUCCAAAUCUCCAAGUAUUUUAGGUCUUUGCUGGGAUUUGAACCUAUUUGAUAAAAUCUCGAGUCGGAAUGAAGCUAAAUGACAUACUAUCUAUUUGAAUAAAUAGCGACUGAUGCACUCACGCUAAUUGUUAAAUUUGAGUCAAUAGGUUGAAUCCAAAAGAGCUAAUUGGCCAAAAACACACCUGAAGUAUCUCGAUUUUUUGAGUUUGAUACCUAAACUGCCAGGUCCUUGACUUUCCUACCUGAACUUCCACCAACUAGCUAUUAGAACACACCUCAACUAUAUUAGAACACGCCUCGACUAGUAAUUGUUCAUUUUACAUACCGUAACUCACAAACUGUGAUACUUUUAAGCGUGUUUUUCACCCUUGCGCGAGUUUCCUACCUGAACUAUCACCAACUAGCUAUUAGAACACACCUCAACUAUUAAUUCUUCAUUUUACAUACUGUAACUCGAAAACUGAGAUACUUUUAAGCGUGUUUUUCACCCUUGACUAUCACCAACUAGCUAUUCAAGCACAAUUCAAUUAUUAAGUGUUCAUUUUACAUAACGUAACUCAAAAACUGAGAUACUUUUAAGCAUGUUUUUCACCCUUGCGCGAGUUUCCUGCCUGAACUAUCACCAACUAAAUAUUAGAGCACACUUCAAUUAUUAAGUGUUCAUUUAACAUAACGUAACUCAAAAACUAAGAUACUUUUAAGCGUGUUUUUCAUCCUUGCGUGAGUUUCCUACUGAACUAUCACCAACUAACUAUUAGAACACACCUCAACUAUUAGUUGUUCAUUUUACAUAACGUAACUCAAAAACUGAGAUACUUUUAACCCUGUUUUUCACUUUCACCCUUGCACGAGUUUCCUACCUGAACUAUCACCAACUAACUAUUAGAACACACCUCAACUAUUAAUUUUUCAUUUUACAUAUCGUAACACAAAAACUGAGAUACAUAAGCGUGUUUUUCACCCUUUCACUCAAUCCAAUAUACAAAAGAAAAUAAAUCAGCUUAUAUAAAUGCAACGGAAUUUAGGUGAUUUCUUUCCAUGUAUCCUAGCCUUCUAGUACCUGUUGCUAGUGGAAGGUAACCAUCCCGUGGAAUUAUUUAGAGGUGCGGGCAAGCUGGUCUGGACACCACGAUUAUCAAAAUAAAAAAAAUAAAAAUACACGCAACUGAAUCAUGGGAAAGUUAUUAACAAACUCAAGUACAAUAUUUAAUCAAAUAAUUAAAUUUUAAUGUAAAUUAAUCACGAUAAAAUCAAAUCUAUUUACUUAAUUUCCUCCUAAAACAAACCAAAGAAACGCAACAAUUUUUUUUUAUUUACCUCCCAAUACAAUCCUUGAAAGUUUGCUCAGUUUUUUCACACUUUCGUAUGAAUUUUCCAGGCUCAGUUUCUUCGGUUCGGCAUUUAGUACUCACAAUCUUCCUAGUAGCACACCGUUCACCGCCGCCUCCGUCGCCAUCGCCGCCGGAGGAUGAUGAUCUAGGGUUCAAAAAAUCAUCGGCGCCGUAACGGUCCGAAACGUCGUCGUUCUUCCAUACCCAACCCAUUGCUUGGAAAAUAAAUCAGGGAUGUUUCUGGAAGGUGAAAGAAAUGGAAUGAGUUAUUUCUAUAUAGUUUUGCUUAUAAAGGAACUUUAAUUUUAAAAAAUAAAAAAUAAAAAUGGGUGCAAAAAAGGAUAUAAGUAAUUUAAAAAAAAGUUAAAAAUGAUAAAAAACACAGCUAAACUAUUUCAAGUGUUUUAAAUUAUAUAGCUUGAGGGGGCAAGUUUCCUGCAUAAAUUAUCAUUCAGUGAUUAGCGAAAGUCGACACGCAUUUUGAUCUAAUAUAUAAACUCUCAUUUUUAUAUAAAAUUUUGACACGUAGCAAUCCACAUGGACAAUCAAUUCCACUAUAGUAAAGUUAAAUAAAUUAAUGUUUGUUUUCUUUAUUCAGAGAAUCUUACAAAAUCUAUGUAUGUAAAAUCCAUAGAUAUAGUAGAAUUCUCCGAAUAGGGGAGACAAAAUAUUUUCGACCAUAUAUGGUGAGAUCUCCAGUUCUAUCAUUGGAAAUCUUUGACAUUUGCUGAAAAAUUGAUAAGUAAAAUUUUGGGAGAUUUUCGUUUUGGUGGUGGUUUAUGGUCGUUGGGUUAUUCGAAGUAGUGAAAUGGUCGUUGUGUUGGUUGGAGAUUGUGGAGGAAAUGAUGCUGGGGCUUGGUUGGUCGGAGUAGAGAGGAAGAAAGAGGGAGUGAGGGAGGUCGAAGCUUGGUGAUUUUUCAAUGGAUGAGCGGUUGGAAACACAAAAGACGAUGGACCGACUGAUUUUGUGGGAGUUGCUCGUUGUGAAGGAAAAAAAUGAAUUGAAUUUGAGAUUUGGGAAAAUGUAAUGUAUAUCCACUGGUUUAGAGAGAGAAAGUUUAAAAAAAAAAAAGAAUUUAUGUAAUAAUUUUAAAGAGUUAGAAAUUUAAAGUAAUAACGAUAAGUUAAGGUAUGAUAUUAUGUAAUAUGUCUUAUUCUCCAUCGUGACAUCUAGCAAUGUUGUAUCGUUUUAGUCACGACGUUGAUAUCUCCGUCUUAAAAAGGGAAACUUUAGGCUUUUAAGAAAAUCAAUUGGAAAAUAUAAAUAAAAUGACGUGUUAGCUAAUAGAGUCACCAUAUUAUCAGAUGAAUGAAGAUUUUAUUGCAAAAUACACCUAAAUACGUUUAGAUAAAUAUUUAGUGCAGUCAACAUAGAGGAAUGUUCUGCUAGCCAUUCAUUACGUGUUUACUAAGAUAAAAUAUUCACACUCCAACUUGCUUAGGUAUGAAAAUCAAAAGAAUAUUUUUGACAAAGUAAUAAUGAUAAGUUAAAAGUAAGGUAUUAUGUAAUUUGCCUGAUUCUCCAUUGUGACAUCUGAUAAUGUUAUACCGUCUCAGCCAUGAUAUUGAUAUCUCCAUCUUGAAAAUAAAAAAUGUAGGCUUUUAAGGAAAUCAAUUGAAAAAUAUAAAUAAAGUGAUAUUUGAGCUAAUCGCGUUAUCAUGUAUAUCAGGUGGACGAAGAUUUUAUUGCCAAAUACACUCAGAAGCGUUUAGAUAAAUAUUUUGUGCAGUCAACAUAUAGGUAUGUUUCGUUAGCCGUUACGUGAUCGUUAAGAUAAAAUAUCCACACUCCAAAUUAUUUAGGUAUGAAAAUAAAAAAAUAUUCUUUACCCUUUUAAGUCUUAAGAAAAAAAAAGUAUGGGAAGUGCAGUGCAAAAAGACAUGUAGUCCUAAAAGUAAAGAAGCUUGUAAAAAAAGAUUAAUUUUAUUGGAAUUUUUCAUACGUCUUGACUACGUAAUUAAAACAAAGUAACGAAAUUAUGGUUAUAAUUCUUCAAAAAUACACCAAAAAUUUUUAAAAAACUUUAUUCAAGUUUCAAAUGUAUCAUAUUGUGUUGUAUUGUAAUAAUAUUAUUUUGAUAAAUAUUAUUUCACGUUAUUCCGUCUCGUCACACGUAAUCAAAAUGUAAGGCUCAAAAAAUUCCAGUAGCUUAAUUAAUUGAUUACCUAAACUAUUACUUGUUGGUCAAGAUUCUACUACCCACCUUAUAAUCCCCUCUCUUAUCCUCCUCCCAUUAACUAAAAAAGGAAACUAAUUUUUGUAGUCUUUUUUACAAAUUUUGAUUAGGACUAAGCCUCAACAAUAUUUUUCCUAUUCAUAUUUGGAUUUGGAGAAUUAAAGUUAAUGCAAUUAAAACUUUCUUGUAUCAAUCCAUAUUGAUAUGGGAUUAAGAGAAGCCAAAUAGCUCUAUAAAUAUAAACCAAUACUAUUUCACAUUCUUCAUCACAAAUUUCUUUAGCACUUAAUAGUCCUUAGUUUAUAAACUUGUUUUUCCCUUGUUUGUUGAUCAUGAUCACUUGUUUGUUGAUCAUUAUCACCAUGCCUAUCAAGCAAGAAAUAUCAUCGACUUAACGGACGAUUUAGACGAUACCAAUGUCCCCAUGAACACAAGUAAUGAUAUAGUUCCUGUAACCAAUUAUGGUGUUGGUUCUUGUUUUCUUGAUAUUCAAGAAAGUCCUAUGAAGAAGACGAAACUUGAAACUGAGACUUGUAUGAUUGCUUCUUUGUCAAUUUGUCCUAAGAAUGAAUUCGUAGGAGGUUUCCCUGCUGUUAAUCCAAUUGCUACUAGUUGUAAGCAAUUCUGGAAAGCUGGAGAUUAUGAUGGCAAUAAGGAGGGUGCAUGUCAUGAUCAAACUGUUGUUGGUAUGGAUCAUGUGAGAGUUCAUCCGAAAUUCUUGCAUUCGAAUGCUACUAGUCAUAAAUGGGCAUUGGGUGCUUUCGCUGAGCUUUUAGACAACGCGAUGGAUGAGGUUUGCAAUGGUGCUACAUUUGUUAGCGUAGACGUGCUGGACAAUAAGAAAGAUGUUGGGAGUAAGAUGUUGUUAGUUGAAGACAAUGGUGGUGGAAUGACUCCUGAUAAGAUGCGCCAGUGCAUGUCGCUUGGGUACUCUGCGAAAAGCAAAUUAGCAAACACGAUUGGUCAAUAUGGAAAUGGUUUCAAAACGAGUAGUAUGAGGCUAGGGGCUGAUGUGAUUGUGUUUUCACGGGGGAGGGAUAGAGCAAUGAGCAUGUCGACACAGAGUGUAGGAAUGUUGUCGUAUACUAUUCUAAGGGGCACGGGGAAAGAAGAUAUAGUUGUUCCUAUGAUCGAUUAUUUUGUGAAGAGGGGAGGGACGUGGGAGAUGUUGGUUCGGUCUACAGCUGAUGAUUGGAAGAGGAAUUCGGAGACAAUAGCACAAUGGUCUCCUUAUGAGAACGAACAGGAUCUUUUCCAGCAGUUUGAGUUAUUGAAAGGUGAUCAUGGGACGCGAAUUGUCAUAUACAAUCUUUGGGAGGACGAAGAAGGAGCCCCAGAGCUCGACUUUGACACUGAUCCACAUGACAUUCAAAUAAGGGGUGUAAGUCGAGAUGAAAAGAAGAUUGAGAUGGCGAAAGAAUAUCCUAACCCCAGGCACUUUCUAACUUAUCCACAUUCUCAAAGGAGUUAUGCUUCGAUUUUGUAUCUGAGGCUUGCUCCUGGAUUUCGAAUAAUUUUGAGGGGGGAAGAAGUUGAACAUCAUAAUAUGGUAAACGACAUGAUGCUGUCGGAGGAGAUUACGUACAGACCACAAUCCGUUGGUUAUGAAACAUCGGUAGCAGAAGGAACUAUUGGUUUUGUGAAAGAUGCAAAACAUCAUAUUGAUAUUCAAGGUUUCAAUGUUUAUCACAAGAAUAGGCUCAUUAAGCCUUUCUGGAGGGUGUGGAAUGCUGCUGGCAGCGAUGGUCGCGGUGUGAUAGGCGUCUUGGAAGCUAAUUUUGUUGAACCAGCUCACGAUAAACAGGGCUUUGAGCGCACGAUUGUCCUUGCAAGACUCGAGGCACGCCUGCAAUUUAUGCAGAAGAAGUAUUGGUCUUCAAACUGUCAUUUCAUUGGUUAUGCUAAGCGUCGCAAUGUAAAGAACACUACUGUCUCUCCUGAUCAAGAAGCACCAAACACUUGUUCUGCGCCUACAAGCAAAUCCUGUUCCCCAUUCAGCUCCAAUGUCGGCCACACAACCUGUCAUGAUGAUAGAUCUAAACCGAAAUCAUCCGGAGUAGAACAUGAGACGAGACCCGUUCAUUCUUCAGUAAAGGACAGUUCGGUGCAGGAAGCAUCCCGUGUUUAUGUUUAUGUAGGAUCUGGGGAAGUCCCACACCCAGUUCAAGUUUCAAUACAAGCAGGACGCCAGCCUAUGUAUGUAGAUCAAAACCAGCAAGUGCGUACACUAAAUGAGCAAGGUCAUCUAACUCGGCAAGAGUGUACAUUGAAUAGGCAUCAUGAUCUAACUCAGCCAACGUGUACAUUGAAUAGACAACCCGAUAUAACUCAGCAAAUGUGUAUAUUAAAUAGGCAAACUGAUGGAACUCCAGUAAACACUUCUGCACCUAAAAGAAACUCCAAUGCUGUGUACUGUCACAUAGAAGUCAAAUACGAACACAUAAUUAAAAAAAAAUUAUCACAGCAUCAACAACAUCGUGGCACUACAUUAACUCAUUAACCGGCAAUACCGAAUAACAAAUUCCAUCUGACAAGAAAAGACAGCAAUUUGACCACCAAUCUUAGCCACUCUGCAUAAUGUCAAGGCUGUGGUAGCGCUUAAAGGGCUUAAAGGGUCCUUUUCCUCCUCUUCUCUCCACUCGAGAAAAAACCUUGCAAAACUCUGACUCUUCAGUGAACUCUCUUAUCCUACGUAUAGGCUACAAACCAGUCAUUAUUUUGUUAAAAACGUAAUUUACCAAGAAAACUGACACACUCGAUGUGAGGCAAGCUUCUUGAUUAGCGAUUUCACAGACAUCCUAGCACGUUGCAGAAGCAAUUACUCUCUCACCAAACACCAUAUAUCACUGUACAAGGUAUACAAAUGUCGCAGGUCUUAUGUUUCGUCAAGGGACUCACAGUUUCCUCAGAGCUUGCGCAAAUCGUAGACAUGUUGGCAGUUCCUAUUCAUAUUUGCAUAUUCUAGAAUUCACCCCAAUCACACUAUACCUCAAGUCGUGACUCUUUUAGGGCCGUCCCUAGGAUCCGAACCAAAAACCUGCUCAACUAAACUGCAAAAUACAAAUCGAGAAAACUUAGCACAGUACAAUCAUCAUCAAUGUAUCAAAAAUGUAGCACAAUAUUCCCAGCAUAUUAUAGAUUAAAAAAAAAAAAAUAGUAUACACUUGGGAUAUCCAGCACUUUUAGCAGCAGUUCUGCCAGAUAGAUUGGUGUAGUAUUGUUGAAUAAUGAAGCUAUUCGACCUUGAUCCGCUUGGUUCAGGGGAAUCAUGGGAACUCACAGCUGAACUUCCAGAGGACAUCCCUGCAACAAUUUGGUGUAUGUCCCAAAUCAUCAGAUAAUUGGUUUGUUGAAAACAAAUCUGGUAGCAACAAAGAGUUUGCAACAAAAAGAAAAACAAGGGCUAACAACACCAACAAAAUACCCAGUGUAGUGGGGUCUGGGAAGAUAAAGUAUACACGGACCUUACCCCUAUCUCGUAGAGGUAGGGAGGCUGUUUGCGGAGAAAAAAGGUUAAUCUAUUGCAAAUAUGUGAUUUCCGGUAACACUGUCACUCGCAGAAAAUGAAAAAUCCUUGUACAUACACAUUAUAUUCCCCCACUUUUUUGCAUCAUCAUCUUGGCAUGGAGAUGCUCAGAUAAUGUGCACAAGUAUUCAAGUCAAGACAAGAAUGAUGUUGGUGUAUAGCCAAUGCAUAACAGGUCACACACAAUAGUUUAAGAGGAUGCGGGAGACUGCCUCUAUGAUGCUGCUCACAUAAUGUCGGGUGAAUCACAAGUUAAAGAUAAGCCCGUAAAAUUUAACACCUUCAAUGAAAUACCUUAAUUAUUCCUAAUGCAAUAGUUUAAACAGGACAAGCGAGGAAGAAAGUGCAUAAAAGGAAAAUAACUACUCCAGGAAUUAACACUAACACUACCCAGGCAUGAUUCCUAAAACAAUUACACACAAAUUGUCAUAUGAAAGAUACAUGGAAAAUGCCAAAUUAAAUGAUUACCUUGAAAACACAGGAUGAGAAAGAAGAGGACAGAAAAGAGAAAGGCAAGGACACUGCCCAUGGAUGAUGGUGAAGUAGAAGAUGCUUUUGCUGCUUUCAUUUUCUUCAAAGCCUUGAUUCGCUCAAUUCGCGCACGCUUGAUCAUUGCGAGUUCGGCGAUCUCUUUGAUAAGCUUCUGGUCAGCAGCAUCCAAGGAUAAUCCUCUUGGAGGUCUGGGAGGUUUUUUAGCACUGGUGGAUUUACGCUUAUCUUUCACUUUUUUCUUGUCUAUGCGAUUUGCAGUCGUCACAGGUACUGUAGAAAGCUCAUGCUCAUGCUCAUGCUCAUGCUCAUCCUUGAUCAAACAGAGCCCAUUUUCAACUUCAAUAAGUUGUUCAUCGUCACAGGUACUGUAGAAAACUCUCUUGCCUAGUUUAUCAGCAGAAAAAGGAUCAGGACUUGCUGGUGCUUCACUCAUUCUCUUGCACAUCUCAACAUCAACCACAAAAUCAAAGGGUGUACGAUCCAUGACAACUCUACUCGGCAAACUUAAAUAUCUCUAUAAUAAAUUCGAGAACAUAAGCCAGCACCCAGAUUUAUCUUUCAACAGGUUAUCAUCUGAAAGACAAUUUAUCAAACACCAUUCAGUUUCCUGAGCUCAAUUAUUAAUUUCUUCACCCCCACCCCCACCCCCCAAUUUAUAUCCAAGGCCCCUAAAAUUCUGUCAAUUUUUGGAAACAAUUCUACUAUUUCACUGUAGAUUUCUUCAUAGGCACCUAAAGCUUCACAAUUUCAAAUAAACACAAGCUGGUAAAGGAAUUUACUUUGGAAACAAGAAAGGAAAUCAGUUACAAUCUGAAUCUAACAAAUUAAUUAAACUAGCUGAACGAAGAUAACUUGGGAAAUAAACAUCAAAAGCGAACUUAUAACCGAUUAAAGAAUAAAGAAGCAACUCAUUCAGUCAGAUUAACAUAGUUCAUCAAUAAAGAUGAAUUGGGAAGGAAACAUCAAUCAAAUUAAAUACUAUAAAGAAAGUAAGUUGGGGUUUUAGUGUGUGGACCUUUAGGAUUGAAGACAAGGCAGAUAGAUCCAUAGAGAGUGGAUAGUGUGAUUCAAAAAUUGUGGAGAUUCAAUUAAGAGGAGUGCACGUAUAUCAAUCACUAUAUAUAUUAAUAAAUAAAUGACGAGUGCCAUUGCCAGAGCUUGACAUUCAAAUUGAAUUAUAUGAGAGAGAGAGAGAGAGAGAGUGAAGGCGACAAGUAAGCCUAGAUGCACGCGGGUGUUUCUGUGGGAAUUAACACCGAAACUUCAACUUACUUUUUUCAUUAUUUUUAUUAUUUUUUUUAAACAAAAAAAUCAUACUACUCCGUAAUUGUUUUAAGGAAAGCGACUUGUCCAAAAUCUGUUGCCGUUUGAUUAUGAAAUUGACAGCACACUGCAGCAGCAGGUGAGGAGAAAGUGAGAUUCUGCCUACCUGCCAGUUUUUGAUGAAUCUCCACCGACACUUUUCUCUUCCCACUUCUAACCCUAACCCCUCUCCAUAAUUAAUCCAACAUGACAACUUACGUCAAAUUUAGCUCACUACUAUAUUAUAUAAUAAAUAGAUUAUAUUUAUAUUUAAUUCCAAGAUGUUUAGUUUUGUGGUAUCAUAUUAAUUUAUCCUUCUUAUUUAUGUUUUCUCAAAUUAAAAUUGAACCUACUUAUAUUUCACUACGUAUUCUAAAAUUUAAAUCAACGAGUAGGAAAUACAUAACCCACUUUCCUUUUUAAAUGACAACGGAUUCUUACUAUAAGAAAAAAAAAAAAUAUUUAUAUGUUGUUGCAACUUUAGACUAUGAUAUUAUGGGUGCAGCUAAAUGACUAGAAUGAUUCAAUUUUGUAAAAUGACUUUUUGGCCCUUUGACUCCAAAAUCACUUACCUUUCAUUCCAAAAUGCAAAACUACUUCCUUUUAACUCCAAAAUUAUUUAUUUUUCCCUCUAAAAAUAAAACCACUUUAACUUUUAUUUUUUAUUUUUAUUAUUCUUUCUUAUUUUUUUUACUAUUUUUUCAUAUUUAAUUUUUAUAUUUUAUUUUUUCAUUCUACUUUUUCCUUACUUAUUUUAAGUUUUCUCAUUUAAUUUGAAAUCUUUUAAUCAUCAUUUUUAACUUGUAUUAUAUAUUUUUUUUCUUCCAUUACUUCUAUCUCUUUAGUUAUUUUACUAUACAGAUCUUUCAACUUUUUUAUUUUUAAUUUUUUUUUUAAUUUUAAAUCCUCCAUAUAUCUCAUCUACAAAAUUUCUUCUAUAAUUUUAUUUUUUUAAUGAAUUCAAUUUAACAAAAAUAUUUAACUAAGAGAAACCAUGAAUGAAAUUUUUGGAAUUGAAAAUAGUAAUAGUUUAGUCGCUAAAUUUAUAAUCAACAAAAAUUCAAAUAUGAUUACUUUUAAAGUUAAAUUCAUUUUUAUUUUGCUUAUAAACAAAAGAAAAUUGCCUUUAAAUAGCAAUUCAAUUGAUAGUUAUCAACAUGAUAUUUUAACUGUAAAUUAAUAAGUUUGACUUAAAAAUUUUAGUGUAAUUUUUAUCUUGUCUCUAAAUAACUCGCAUAUUAAGUUUAUAUAGGUUUGAUUAAAAAUUCAACUGUGUGCAAAGAUUAAGUAUAUGAAUAAAAAUUAAUGAGAUCGUCACAUAAUGUUAUUCUAACAAACUGAUCAAAAAAUUUAUAAUCAUUGAAUCACAACUUUGAGAUUAGAAAGCUGCGAUAACAUACAAAUUUAUUUUAGUUAAAUUAUAUUUAAUAUUUGGAAGUAUUUUUAUUUUGUUUCACUAAAAUUAUAAAGUAUUUCAUAAUUAUUUUGUCUAAGAAAAUUAAUUGGCUUGUAAAAAUUGAAGCCUAGAAUUAUUUGGCUUGUAAAAAUUGAAGCCGAAAGUAUUUUAUCUUAUUGUUGUUGGUGAUGCUGGUGUUGUUGUUGUUGUUGUUGGUGGUGGUGAUGGUGGUGUUGCCGCUGCUGCUACUACUACUGUGCUGCUACUGCUACUACUACACUUCUUAUUAAAAAUAAAUUUAAGAAGUGAAAUUGAGUUACUAGAAGUCAUCACUUGUGUUGGUGAGUCAUAAAAUUCACAAAUUGAAACUCGAUUUAAUCCUAGUAUAUGCUGAAUCAAUAUUUUUCAAAUAGAAUUCGGCCAUUUAUGUUGACUAUAUAGUGACAAAUUGACACAUGAUUCAAUCCUAACAUAGAUUGAAUCAAUAUGUCACAUUUAGAAGUCAAUCUUUUAUUUUAACUAUAGUCGUGAUAGAUUGAAACUCGAUUUGAUCCUAACAGAGAUUGAAUCAAUAUUUUUCAAGUAGAAAUAAAUUAUUUAUGUUGAUUCUAAUCACGAUAAAUUGAAAUCCAAUUCAAUCCUUAUAAACACCUAAUUUCGUCCCUCCCCGAUGUCGUUUUAUCCAUUUUUAUCUUAUCCUACCGUGUACCCUCACCCGUGUGAUAAUCCCUCCACAAAUAACAAAAAUAACAAUCCCCUAACUAAUUUUGUCUUAUCCUAGCAGCUUACCCAAACAAAAAUAGACAUCUAACCCUUAUCCCUCCAAUUAAAAAACAACACCUACCUACCCUAUCCUAACAACCCAUCCAAUCAAAAACCACAUCACACCCUACCCCCUACCCCACGUGACCCCACCUACCUCACCACUACCCCACCCUCAUCACAUAUAUCACACACUCUCAUAUAUUCACUGAUAUAUUCACCAACACACAGAUACCCACCGACAAAAAACUCACCUCACGCCAUUUUCUUAGGCUUCUUCUUCUUCUCACACAGAGCACACACUCACAUACCGUCACUGACUAUCACACAUGCACAAUGAAUUCACGCACAAAAUCUCACGCCACACACUGAUAGGAAUCCGAAAACACAGUGGACAAAGGCGAACACCCACACGUCACAGUCACCCUCCCCGACGCUUCACCGGAAUUUGAUUUCCUCGGAAAAGAAGACACGCUCUGAGAUCGGAAUAUGGAGAAAGUGAGAUAAUCGAGCAAGAAAAUCAUAGAAAAUCGAAGAAGAUAUUGAGUAGCGAAGAAAUCUGAGAGGAAUGGAGAGAUGGUGAGAAGCAAGUAAAAAUCGAGAGAGAGAGAGAUCGGAGACCGGCGAGUCUUCGCCUGAAGCUCACAGGAAAGGGCUCUUCCGCCGCCAGAAUUGGCAAAACCAGCCUCCAAACAACUGAAAUAGACCUGUUAUGGGCUGAUUCCGACCAGCUCCACCAGAAAAUUGAUAUGUCGCCCAUCACCGAACAACCACAGCUGCAACCCAUCGAAAAUCAUUCGACAUCCUACGACCCAACUUCACCGUUGUUGUUGUCUCUGUUUCGACAGCAGAAAUACACCAGAAAAGGUAAUAUUCCCACCGAUUGAGUUUUGAGUGACGACAGUCGUGGAUUCUGUUCGAGAACUUCGAUUUGGGCUUGGGUUAGUCGUUGUCUUUGAUUUGGGUUGGUCAGUUCGUGAUUGAGGUUCAAAUUGAGAGUUUUUGGAUCCGACUUUGUCUUUUGAUCACAUAUUUUGGCACUCUACACUUUCUCUCAUCUAUUUUAUUAUUUGUGAUGUUUCGUAUUUCGAAUUGGAUAUUCGUGUGUGUGGUUUGAUCUUCGUUGGUGAGAUGAUUUCGUUGGUCACGAUUGUGUGUGAUGUCAAUGAUGAAUAUUGAGUUUACAGUGAUUGUGGAUUGUUGAAAUAGUAAUCGUGAUUGUUGAAAUUUUGUGUUAAAAUAAAAUUGGGGGUGGGAAUUAAAAAUUGCUAAAAUGAAUGUUGAUUAAUUUUGAUGUAUGAAUAAUGUUAAACACGAUGGAAUUGUGAUAUGUUGAACUUGAUAGGCAAAUGUAGGUCGGGUAGUCAAAUUUAGAAAUAACAAUUUAUUGGAAUAUUUGAAUAUGUGCGUGAAUGGUUCGUUUUACUUUAUCAAACGAAAAGCUUCAAUUGUAUAUUUUGGUCGGGGAAUGCCUUAAAGUAUCUGUAUAUAUUUAUUCACCGGGGAAUGCCCCGAGGUAUCAUGUACCCGGAGGACAUUUGUGGUGAAGGCCUGAGGUGUCGGGUAGAGCAUUAGUUUAGGAUUAGCGUAGGUUUACUUUUAGUCCCUUUUUAUUUCGGGUUGUAAUAAUUGGACUGGACUUUACAUUUUAGAUUAUUUUGUUUUGUUUGAUUAUUUUGCGUGCUUCUUGUGCGGUUUAUACAUUUCUUAGUGCCAAAAAAAAUAGUCGAUACACUCUACCAAGCGACCGUGGUUGAACCACGGGAUCGAGAGGUGCCUAACACCUUCCCCUCGGUCAACAGAAUUCCUUAUCCGGAAUCUCUGUUCGCAAACCAGUUUAAAGAGUCAAAUGGUUUUGAAAAGAAUUUUCUAAUGGUGACUUGGCACACCAGAUUAUGUCAAGUGGCGACUCUGAGUAAAAAAUGUAAAUAAUCUUUUUCCGAAAUAAAUUUUCAUUUCUUGUCACUUAAAUAAUAAAAUCCUUUCGAACUAAAAAAUAUAAAUCUUUCGGGAGUCAAAAAAGGGGUGUGACAAUCCUAAGGUAGAUUCAAUCAACAUUUUUCAAAUAAAAGUCAACCAUUUAGGUUGAUUAUAGUUGAUCAAGACAAAUUAAGAUACAAUUCAAUCCUAAUAUUGAUUGGUACGCGCAAGCUGAUCCGGACACCAUGGUUUAAAAAAAUAAAAAAAAAAUCAAACAUUUAUGUUGAUUAUAAUCGUGAUAAAUUAAAACUCAAUUUAAUCGUAAUAUAGAUUGAAUCAAUAUUUUUCAAUUAGAAGUCAAACAUUUACGUUGAUUAUAGUGGUGACAAAUUGAAACUUAAUUUAAUUUUACUACUAAUAAUAAAGAGCAAUAAGUAGGCACGUCUCAACAUGCCUGCUUCAACUGCUUAAAUC
rnacentral:lncRNA from 1 species